CAGAUUAAGGCUAAAUAGCAUUUUAUUUACAUUAAAAAGAUAUAUUUUAAUUAAUAUGAUCUGA
rnacentral:tRNA from 1 species